rnacentral:rRNA from 1 species
AAUGAACGCUGGCGGCAUGCCUAAUACAUGCAAGUCGAGCGAACAGACGAGGAGUUUGCUCCUCUGACGUUGGCGGCGGACGGGUGAUUCCCACGGGGAUAACAUAACUAUACGACUGGGGUAACUUCGCGAAACCGGAGCUAAGACCGGAUAAUAUAUUGAACCGGAUGGUUCCAUAGUGAAAGACGGUUGUGCUGAGAGUUAUAGAUGGAUACGCGCCGCAUUAGUAAGUUGGUAAGGUGAAGGCUUAGCAAGGCUAGGAUGCGUACACGCCCCGAGAGGGUGAUCCGCCACACUGGAACUGAGACACGGCCCAGACUCUGACGCGAGGCAGCAGUAGGGAAUCUUCCGCAAUGGGCCAAAGCUUGACGGAGCAACGUCGCGUGAGGGAUGAAGGUCCUCGGACCGUAAAGCUCUGUUAUUAGGGAAGAAGAAAUGUGUAUGUAACCAUGCUCGUCUUGACGGUACCUAAUCAGAAAGCUCCGGCUAACUACGUG